rnacentral:rRNA from 1 species
UUAAGCGACUAAGCGUACACGGUGGAUGCCCUGGCAGUCAGAGGCGAUGAAGGACGUGCUAAUCUGCGAUAAGCGUCGGUGAGGUGAUAUGAACCGUUAUAACCGGCGAUUUCCGAAUGGGGAAACCCAGUGUGUUUCGACACACUAUCAUUAACUGAAUCCAUAGGUUAAUGAGGCGAACCGGGGGAACUGAAACAUCUAAGUACCCCGAGGAAAAGAAAUCAACCGAGAUUCCCCCAGUAGCGGCGAGCGAACGGGGAGGAGCCCAGAGCCUGAAUCAGUGUGUGUGUUAGUGGAAGCGUCUGGAAAGGCGCGCGAUACAGGGUGACAGCCCCGUACACAAAAAUGCACAUAUUGUGAGCUCGAUGAGUAGGGCGGGACACGUGGUAUCCUGUCUGAAUAUGGGGGGACCAUCCUCCAAGGCUAAAUACUCCUGACUGACCGAUAGUGAACCAGUACCGUGAGGGAAAGGCGAAAAGAACCCCGGCGAGGGGAGUGAAAAAGAACCUGAAACCGUGUACGUACAAGCAGUGGGAGCCUCUUAAUGGGGUGACUGCGUACCUUUUGUAUAAUGGGUCAGCGACUUAUAUUCUGUAGCAAGGUUAACCGAAUAGGGGAGCCGAAGGGAAACCGAGUCUUAACUGGGCGUUAAGUUGCAGGGUAUAGACCCGAAACCCGGUGAUCUAGCCAUGGGCAGGUUGAAGGUUGGGUAACACUAACUGGAGGACCGAACCGACUAAUGUUGAAAAAUUAGCGGAUGACUUGUGGCUGGGGGUGAAAGGCCAAUCAAACCGGGAGAUAGCUGGUUCUCCCCGAAAGCUAUUUAGGUAGCGCCUCGUGAAUUCAUCUCCGGGGGUAGAGCACUGUUUCGGCAAGGGGGUCAUCCCGACUUACCAACCCGAUGCAAACUGCGAAUACCGGAGAAUGUUAUCACGGGAGACACACGGCGGGUGCUAACGUCCGUCGUGAAGAGGGAAACAACCCAGACCGCCAGCUAAGGUCCCAAAGUCAUGGUUAAGUGGGAAACGAUGUGGGAAGGCCCAGACAGCCAGGAUGUUGGCUUAGAAGCAGCCAUCAUUUAAAGAAAGCGUAAUAGCUCACUGGUCGAGUCGGCCUGCGCGGAAGAUGUAACGGGGCUAAACCAUGCACCGAAGCUGCGGCAGCGACACUAUGUGUUGUUGGGUAGGGGAGCGUUCUGUAAGCCUGUGAAGGUGGCCUGUGAGGGUUGCUGGAGGUAUCAGAAGUGCGAAUGCUGACAUAAGUAACGAUAAAGCGGGUGAAAAGCCCGCUCGCCGGAAGACCAAGGGUUCCUGUCCAACGUUAAUCGGGGCAGGGUGAGUCGACCCCUAAGGCGAGGCCGAAAGGCGUAGUCGAUGGGAAACAGGUUAAUAUUCCUGUACUUGGUGUUACUGCGAAGGGGGGACGGAGAAGGCUAUGUUGGCCGGGCGACGGUUGUCCCGGUUUAAGCGUGUAGGCUGGUUUUCCAGGCAAAUCCGGAAAACCAAGGCUGAGGCGUGAUGACGAGGCACUACGGUGCUGAAGUGACAAAUGCCCUGCUUCCAGGAAAAGCCUCUAAGCAUCAGGUAACAUCAAAUCGUACCCCAAACCGACACAGGUGGUCAGGUAGAGAAUACCAAGGCGCUUGAGAGAACUCGGGUGAAGGAACUAGGCAAAAUGGUGCCGUAACUUCGGGAGAAGGCACGCUGAUAUGUAGGUGAAGCGACUUGCUCGUGGAGCUGAAAUCAGUCGAAGAUACCAGCUGGCUGCAACUGUUUAUUAAAAACACAGCACUGUGCAAACACGAAAGUGGACGUAUACGGUGUGACGCCUGCCCGGUGCCGGAAGGUUAAUUGAUGGGGUUAGCGGUAACGCGAAGCUCUUGAUCGAAGCCCCGGUAAACGGCGGCCGUAACUAUAACGGUCCUAAGGUAGCGAAAUUCCUUGUCGGGUAAGUUCCGACCUGCACGAAUGGCGUAAUGAUGGCCAGGCUGUCUCCACCCGAGACUCAGUGAAAUUGAACUCGCUGUGAAGAUGCAGUGUACCCGCGGCAAGACGGAAAGACCCCGUGAACCUUUACUAUAGCUUGACACUGAACAUUGAGCCUUGAUGUGUAGGAUAGGUGGGAGGCUUUGAAGUGUGGACGCCAGUCUGCAUGGAGCCGACCUUGAAAUACCACCCUUUAAUGUUUGAUGUUCUAACGUUGGCCCCUAAUCGGGGUUGCGGACAGUGUCUGGUGGGUAGUUUGACUGGGGCGGUCUCCUCCUAAAGAGUAACGGAGGAGCACGAAGGUUGGCUAAUCCUGGUCGGACAUCAGGAGGUUAGUGCAAUGGCAUAAGCCAGCUUGACUGCGAGCGUGACGGCGCGAGCAGGUGCGAAAGCAGGUCAUAGUGAUCCGGUGGUUCUGAAUGGAAGGGCCAUCGCUCAACGGAUAAAAGGUACUCCGGGGAUAACAGGCUGAUACCGCCCAAGAGUUCAUAUCGACGGCGGUGUUUGGCACCUCGAUGUCGGCUCAUCACAUCCUGGGGCUGAAGUAGGUCCCAAGGGUAUGGCUGUUCGCCAUUUAAAGUGGUACGCGAGCUGGGUUUAGAACGUCGUGAGACAGUUCGGUCCCUAUCUGCCGUGGGCGCUGGAGAACUGAGGGGGGCUGCUCCUAGUACGAGAGGACCGGAGUGGACGCAUCACUGGUGUUCGGGUUGUCAUGCCAAUGGCACUGCCCGGUAGCUAAAUGCGGAAGAGAUAAGUGCUGAAAGCAUCUAAGCACGAAACUUGCCCCGAGAUGAGUUCUCCCUGAGACUUAGAGUCUCCUGAAGGAACGUUGAAGACGACGACGUUGAUAGGCCGGGUGUGUAAGCGCAGCGAUGCGUUGAGCUAACCGGUACUAAUGAACCGUGAGGCUUAACCUU